UUCCCUCAGGAUAGCUGGAACUUAUGAAGAAGUAGUUUUAUCAGGUAAAGCGAAUGAUUAGAGGCUUUGGGGAAGAAACUUCCUCGACCUAUUCUCAAACUUUUAAAUAGGUAAGAUUUGAAGGAUACUUAAGUGAUCUUUCAAUACAUUGAAUAUCAAGUUCUUAGUGGGCCAUUUUUUGGUAAGCAGAACUGGCGAUGUGGGAUGAACCGAACGUUAAGUUAAAGUGCCAAAUAGUACGCUUCAUGAGAUACCAUAAAAGGUGUUGGUUCAUUUUGACAGCAGGACGGUGGCCAUGGAAGUCGGAACCCGCUAAGGAGUGUGUAACAACUCACCUGCCGAAUGAACUAGCCCUGAAAAUGGAUGGCGCUUAAGCGUAUAACUUAUACUUAACCCUUACUUGAAUUUAUUAUAACGAGUAAGGAGUAGGAGG
rnacentral:rRNA from 1 species